rnacentral:rRNA from 1 species
UACGGGGGGGGCAAGCGUUGUUCGGAAUUACUGGGCGUAAAGGGCUCGUAGGCGGCCAACUAAGUCAGACGUGAAAUCCCUCGGCUUAACCGGGGAACUGCAUCUGAUACUGGAUGGCUUGAGUUCGGGAGAGGGAUGCGGAAUUCCAGGUGUAGCGGUGAAAUGCGUAGAUAUCUGGAGGAACACCGGUGGCGAAGGCGGCAUCCUGGACCGACACUGACGCUGAGACGCGAAAGCGUGGGGAGCAAACAGG